UUUCUCUGAUGGGCGAGGACACACCUGAUUGGUAGUGUUGCUCUUAUAUCAGCCAGGGGCAAAGCAGUUGUACAGUCCUUAGUUCAUCUUAGCUUAUUGCCUGCUUUGGUGGCCAGAGCUGGUUCAUGCCUGGGGCACAUAA